GUGCUGAGAGUGUCCUGCCUGGUCCUCUGUGCCUGGUGGGGUGGGGGUGCCAGGUGUGUCCAGAGGAGCCCAUUUGGUAGUGAGGCAGGUAUGGGGCUAGAAGCACUGGUGCCCCUGGCCGUGAUAGUGGCCAUCUUCCUGCUCCUGGUGGACCUGAUGCACCGGCGCCAACGCUGGGCUGCACGCUACUCACCAGGCCCCCUGCCACUGCCCGGGCUGGGCAACCUGCUGCAUGUGGACUUCCAGAACACACCAUACUGCUUCGACCAGUUGCGGCGCCGCUUCGGGGACGUGUUCAGCCUGCAGCUGGCCUGGACGCCGGUGGUCGUGCUCAAUGGGCUGGCGGCCGUGCGCGAGGCGCUGGUGACCCACGGCGAGGACACCGCCGACCGCCCGCCUGUGCCCAUCACCCAGAUCCUGGGUUUUGGGCCGCGUUCCCAAGGGGUGUUCCUGGCGCGCUAUGGGCCCGCGUGGCGCGAGCAGAGGCGCUUCUCCGUCUCCACCUUGCGCAACUUGGGCCUGGGCAAGAAGUCGCUGGAGCAGUGGGUGACCGAGGAGGCCGCCUGCCUUUGUGCCGCCUUCGCCAACCACUCCGACGCCCCUUUCGCCCCAACGGUCUCUUGGACAAAGCCGUGAGCAACGUGAUCGCCUCCCUCACCUGCGGGCGCCGCUUCGAGUACGACGACCCUCGCUUCCUCAGGCUGCUGGACCUAGCUCAGGAGGGACUGAAGGAGGAGUCGGGCUUUCUGCGCGAGGUGCUGAAUGCUGUCCCCGUCCUCCUGCAUAUCCCAGCGCUGGCUGGCAAGGUCCUACGCUUCCAAAAGGCUUUCCUGACCCAGCUGGAUGAGCUGCUAACUGAGCACAGGAUGACCUGGGACCCAGCCCAGCCCCCCCGAGACCUGACUGAGGCCUUCCUGGCAGAGAUGGAGAAGGCCAAGGGGAACCCUGAGAGCAGCUUCAAUGAUGAGAACCUGCGCAUAGUGGUGGCUGACCUGUUCUCUGCCGGGAUGGUGACCACCUCGACCACGCUGGCCUGGGGCCUCCUGCUCAUGAUCCUACAUCCGGAUGUGCAGCGCCGUGUCCAACAGGAGAUCGACGACGUGAUAGGGCAGGUGCGGCGACCAGAGAUGGGUGACCAGGCUCACAUGCCCUACACCACUGCCGUGAUUCAUGAGGUGCAGCGCUUUGGGGACAUCGUCCCCCUGGGUGUGACCCAUAUGACAUCCCGUGACAUCGAAGUACAGGGCUUCCGCAUCCCUAAGGGAACGACACUCAUCACCAACCUGUCAUCGGUGCUGAAGGAUGAGGCCGUCUGGGAGAAGCCCUUCCGCUUCCACCCCGAACACUUCCUGGAUGCCCAGGGCCACUUUGUGAAGCCGGAGGCCUUCCUGCCUUUCUCAGCAGGCCGCCGUGCAUGCCUCGGGGAGCCCCUGGCCCGCAUGGAGCUCUUCCUCUUCUUCACCUCCCUGCUGCAGCACUUCAGCUUCUCCGUGGCCGCCGGACAGCCCCGGCCCAGCCACUCUCGUGUCGUCAGCUUUCUGGUGACCCCAUCCCCCUAUGAGCUUUGUGCUGUGCCCCGCUAGAAUGGGGUACCUAGUCCCCAGCCUGCUCCCUAGCCAGAGGCUCUAAUGUACAAUAAAGCAAUGUGGUAGUUCCAA